GACUAGAGAAGAAAUACAAGUAUUUAAACUUCGAAUCUGUAAAUCCGAAAUGUUUUUAUAUUCGAAAUUGGGAAAGAAUAAUAUACUGAUAAAAUGCAAUAAAACUAAAUGUCUUCAUAAAUAUGAACGCUAACGAAGACUGCAGAGAAUUAUUGGAAGAAAUUCAAGAAAAUAUUCAGCUCGAUAUUAUUGAUGAGACUAAACUAGAGGAGGCUUUGCAAGAUGAUUCGUCUGAAAUAAGAAACAGAUUUAGAACCAGUUCCAUUGACGAAUCUUCUACCCUUAAUGGAUGGUCUCAAAUUUAUGCCGAGGAAACUAAGUAAAAUAUAGAAGUUUACUUUCGAAAUG